rnacentral:rRNA from 1 species
GAUGAACGCUAGCGGCAGGCUUAACACAUGCAAGUCGAGGGGUAACAGGGAGAAGCUUGCUUUUCCGCUGACGACCGGCGCACGGGUGCGUAACGCGUAUAGAACCUACCUUUUACAGAGGAAUAGCCCAGAGAAAUUUGGAUUAAUGCCUCAUAGUAUUAUAGAAUGGCAUCAUUUUAUAAUUAAACAUUUAUGGGUAAAAGAUGGCUAUGCGUUCUAUUAGCUAGUUGGUAAGGUAACGGCUUACCAAGGCUACGAUAGAUAGGGGUCCUGAGAGGGAGAUCCCCCACACUGGUACUGAGACACGGACCAGACUCCUACGGGAGGCAGCAGUGAGGAAUAUUGGACAAUGGAGGCAACUCUGAUCCAGCCAUGCCGCGUGCAGGAAGACGGCCCUAUGGGUUGUAAACUGCUUUUAUAUAGGAAGAAACCUUUCCACGUGUGGAAAGCUGACGGUACUAUAAGAAUAAGCACCGGCUAACUCCGUGCCAGCAGCCGCGGUAAUACGGAGGGUGCAAGCGUUAUCCGGAAUCAUUGGGUUUAAAGGGUCCGUAGGCGGACUAAUAAGUCAGGGGUGAAAUCCAACAGCUUAACUGUUGAACUGCCUUUGAUACUGUUAGUCUUGAAUUAUAUGGAAGUAGAUAGAAUGUGUAGUGUAGCGGUGAAAUGCUUAGAGAUUACACAGAAUACCGAUUGCGAAGGCAGUCUACUACGUAUAUAU